AUUUAUUUAUAAUUUAUAUAUAUUUAUACCUGUUGAGGUACAUAGGUGAACUAAACUUUAUUAUUAUUUCAUACCUAAUUGUUAUAUUUUGUGAACUAAUUAAGUAAUACCAACAGACUUAAAAGUAGGUAGGUCGUAGAUACAUGAAAUAUACCAUACAUAUUAUAUAUAUAUGAAAUAUACCUACCUACAUUUAAAAAAUAAAAAGAUAAAAAUAUGGGCGUUUUUCACUUACUUACAUAUUUAUCAUAUUCUAAAUGAUUUUAAUUUAACCAAUUUCGUCAUAAGUUUUAUAGUAAUAAUAUUUAAAAAAAUAUUCUGUACCAAAUAACCAAAGCACUUAUCAUAAUACAAUAAUUGUUGGUAUGUAUGGCGAGUUUAAUCACAUACGUAGGUACGACCAACAAAUAACAAUUAAUAAUUAUAAUAUAUUAAAUUAUGUACUAUCGCAGUGUAUAAUAUUCGUACCACUGUAGAAUAAAAAUAUACAUCAAUAUAAUUUAUAAUAUUAUGCGAAGUUGAAAAUCCCGCGCAACGCGUAGGUAUAAUAUAUUUGUAUUUCCGUGUACGUUUAUCUGUAAUCUGUGUUAAUGUGUUAUUAAUUAAAAUUAUAAUAUUUUAAUACUAUUAUAUUUAUCAUUUGUGAUUAUGACUCGACCGACUAAACUAUAGCGUGCCAGCAUAUUAUUACAAAAUAGUAUAUUGAAACAAGCAACAGUGGUGGUAAUCGAAGUAAAAUAUGGUCAUGUGUUAUUCGUAUAGAAUUAAUUUUAAAAAGAUGAAACUGCAAUUUGUACUUUGUAGGCAGAUAAGCAUGUUAUACUAUAUGCCUGCGACUAAACAAAAGUAGAAAGUUGAAAAAUACCACCUACAGUUAGCCUCCUACCCAUAAAAUAUAAAGACGACUAUUGCAUAGGCGUAGGUUGAUAGGUAUAUUCAAACCAUACACAUAUUUUUACCUAUAAAAUACUCAAUUCCAUUCGGCCGAUGUACGAUUUGUGUUUUUUCCGUAUAAACUUGUUUCAUUUAUUGAUUUUAAAACAUUGUAAAAUAGCCAUGGUCGGUCGUUAUAGAAUUGAUGAAUAUUCACGUAAUAAAACAAUGUAGGAUUCUAUUCGAAUUUUUUGGUAACCCAUUACCCAUAAUAUACAAGUAUCUAUAUUGUUUUGACGAGUAGGCGUUAUUCGAUUGAGUACGAUUUCGGAUAAAACAUAUACAUUUGGGAAUGAUAACAUAACAAUUAUAUUAGUCGUUAUGACGCAAGUAUAGGCAAGGUAUUCGGAAUUUAGAAACACCGUACCUUGUACAGGCGUACGACAGUCGACUAUAAGAUACUAAGAUAGGAGGUUAUAUCUUAUAUAAAACCUUACAUACCAAACGACGACAAUAAUAUAAUAAAUAAUAGUACAACAUAAUAUUAUUUUAUAGUAGGUAAUGAUAUUGCUGGCUGCUGCGGCCCGCGAGUGAUGGCGACGACAUACCGCCGCGCGCGCACACAAAUGGUCGUUCACUCGUCCCUGCGCUGUGACGUCAUCACAGGCGGCGAUCUAACCGCAUCGGAAUUCCGACACGAAACCUUCACCGGCGGUGCGUGCGUGCGUCCACUUGGUGGGGAAGGAUGGCGGGUGGGUGGAGAAGUAGGCCUGUAACGACGUUAAUGCAUUCGUAUUCCGAUGCGAUGCGUUGCGAUGCGUCGAGUGCGUGCGUGUGGCCAAGGCCCGUGCGACGGUUGCGAGUGCGGGCGCGCCGUGUGUGUUGGUCUCUCUACUGUUCACUGUUCUGUACUCUCUUUCUUUUCCACAUUUGCCUCGGACGCGUUCGGUCUGCAGUCACUCGUGUUCCCGUGUCCGCACUCCGAAGCCGCUGCUGCCGCCGCCACCGUCGUUAACUCUGAACUAUUGAGUCUUAAUUUUUUUUACUUCUCAUGCAUUCUCAAAUAUUUCAUUUAUUUUACUAAUAUUCUGCUGGCCCCAUCAUCCAAUUCUCGUUAGUCGUCAACGGUUCCGCGUUUUUCAAAACAGUCAUCAACUUAGAAGGAGAACGUGUUACUCGUGGUUACGUCGACCACGGGUUUUUCUCGUUAGCCUUUUUUUUUUUAAACCGUGUUUGGCUUUAGAUUUUAAUUUAUUUCCCAACCAGUCUUGUUCACUCUCAACCAGCGCGUUAACAAAAAUUAUUCUGCUAUUUUUUUUUUUUUGAGGUUUGGCAGCGGCGGCGACGAAGAAACGUGCUUCGUGCGUGCGCGCAUACGAAUGGAACGCGCGCGCGCACGCACCGGAGCGCGGCGCGGCGGCGACGUAGUUCGUGGAAACGCGGAACACGUGAGAACGACAACGGAGGCGGCGGCGGCGGCGACUACUGCAGCAGUCUGCAGUCAGUAGCAGCUGACGACGACAAUGCCGAGAGUUUCAAUGUCACGUAGGGUGGUGUGUGUGGUGUACCCUCCGCCGCCGCUCAACGAUCACGUGUUUGUGCGUAACACAAUGGUAGUUCGCGCCGUAACUGCGCGUCGUGUUCGCAUUGUCUGCUGCGCGAUCGGCGUUCAAGGUUUUUCAUAGUCCAAGACGUCAGUUCGUUUCAAUAUCGUCAUUCCCAUGUUCGUCGGCUGGACGGUCCGGGCUGUUUUUUAAUUUUCCAUCAUUAUCGUUAUAAUAAUAAUGUAUACUUCUUUUCCCCGCUGCACAUUGUUUUAAUUUUUUUUUUCCUCCUUCAAGUAUUUGUUUUUUUUUUUUACUGUCCAUGUAAAUUAGCCUAAUUUGUGUAUUAUUUAAUUGUUAACGGCGUCUUGUUUUAUUUUCAGUUACGAUAUACUUUGUUAUUGAGUGAGAUCUUGAUAAACUCGCCUGUGAUUUUUUACCAACAAGGCGAGGAUAUAAAGGUCUUAUUU